rnacentral:rRNA from 1 species
CCUACGGGUGGCAGCAGUGAGGAAUAUUGGUCAAUGGGCGGAAGGCUGAACCAGCCAAGUCGCGUGAGGGAGGAAGGCGCUACGCGUCGUAAACCUCUUUUGCCGGGGGACAAAAGGCCGGACGUGUCCGGUCCUGAGGGUACCCGGAGAAAAAGCAUCGGCUAACUCCGUUCCAGCAGCCGCGGUAAUACGGGGGAUUCGAGCGUUAUCCGGAUUCAUUGGGUUUAAAGGGUGCGUAGGGGGGCCUUUAAGCCGGCGGGGAAAUCGCGGGGCUCAACCCCGACGAGCCGUUGGAACUGGGGGCCUUGAGUGCGGCGGAGGAAUGCGGAAUGCGUGGUGUAGCGGUGAAAUGCUUAGAUAUCACGAAGAACUCCGAUUGCGAAGGCAGCCUACUAAACUGCCACUGACAUUGAUGCUCGAAAGUGUGGGUAUCAAACAGGAUUAGAUACCCUUGUAGUC